GUAGCAAUACGGUCUCAGUGGCGAACGGGUGAGUAACGCGUUGGUGAUCUGCCUCGAAGUGGGGAAUAACGAUUCGAAAGAAUCGCUAAUACCGCAUAGUCUCUCGGUGUUUAGAAAGCUGAGAGUAAAGGAUUUAUUCGCUUUGAGAGGAGCCUGCGUCCCAUCAGCUAGUUGGUAAGGUAAUGGCCUACCAAGGCGAUGACGGGUAGGGGACCUGAGAGGGUGGCCCCCCACAAUGGAACUGAAACACGGUCCAUACACCUACGGGUGGCAGCAGUAGGGAAUAUUAGAAAUGGACGAAAGUCUGAUCUAGCAACACCGCGUGUGCGAUGAAGGCCUUCGGGUUGUAAAGCACUUUUUGGAAGGAUUAGGAAGGAAUGUACUUCCAGAAUAAGUCUCGGCUAACUACGUGCCAGCAGCCGCGGUAACACGUAGGAGGCGAACGUUAUCCGGAUUUACUGGGCGUAAAGCGCGUGUAGGUGGUUCUGUAAGUAGGGCGUGAAAGCUCCUGGCUCAACUGGGAGAGGCCGUUCUAAACUGCAGAGCUAGAGGAUGGUAGAGGGAGGUGGAAUUCCGGGUGUAGCGGUGGAAUGCGCAGAUAUCCGGAGGAACACCAGUGGCGAAGGCGGCCUCCUGGACCAUUCCUGACACUCAGACGCGAAAGCUAGGGUAGCAAACGGGAUUAGAGACCCCGGUAGUCCUAGCCCUAAACGAUGUAGACUUGGCGUCGGUGGCUUAAUCGUCAUCGGUGUCGUAGCUAACGCGAUAAGUCUACCGCCUGGGGACUACGGCCGCAAGGUUAAAACUCAAAGGAAUUGACGGGUCCCCGCACAAGCAGCGGAGCGUGUGGUUUAAUUCGUUGC
rnacentral:rRNA from 1 species